GAGUUUGAUCCUGGCUCAGGGUGAACGCUGGCGGCGUGCCUAAUACAUGCAAGUCGAACGCCCCGCUUUUAGCGGGGAGUGGCGAACGGGUGAGUAACACGUUGGUACCUGCCCCGAAGAAGGAAGCUCGGAGAAAUCCGGAUUAAUACCCCAUAGUCUCGUGAGAGUAAAGCUCCGGCGCUUCGGGAAGGGCCUGCGCAUGAUUAGCUUGUUGGUAAGGUAACGGCUUACCAAGGCGAUGAUCAUUAGCUGGUCUGAGAGGACGAUCAGCCACACUGGAACUGAGACACGGCCCAGACUCCUACGGGAGGCAGCAGUAGGGAAUCUUCCACAAUGGGCGCAAGCCUGAUGGAGCGACGCCGCGUGCAGGACGAAGGCUUUCGGGUCGUAAACUGCUUUUCUGGCCGAAGAAUAUGACGGUAGGCCAGGAAUAAGCCUUGGCUAACUCCGUGCCAGCAGCCGCGGUAAUACGGAAGGCAAGCGUUACCCGGAAUUACUGGGCGUAAAGCGUUGCGUAGGCGGCUCGCCAGGUUUCUACUGAAAUACUAAGGCUCAACCUUGGGAUCGGUAGAAAAACCGGCGCGCUAAGGACAGUAGAGGUGAGUGGAAUUCCUGGUGUAGGAGUGAUAUCCGUAGAUACUAGGAAGAACACCGAUGGCGAAGGUAGCUCACUGGGCUGAUCCUGACGCUGAAGCACGAAAGUGUGGGGUAGGGAACCGGAUUAGAUAACCGGGUAGGCCACGCCGUAAACCAAGGAUG
rnacentral:rRNA from 1 species